GUUAGAGAAGUUUGUUAGACCGUUAGAGGAGUUUGUUACGUCGUUGGAGGUCAGUUGUAAGUGAGCUAGAGUAUAACUAUAUGUAUUAACUAGAAAUGAGGUCAUACUUAGCUGUAUGUGCCAAAUGGGGAUGAGUUAUAGCACAGCUGUAUGUAAGAUCGUGGCCAGUUGUAACUUAGUUGUAGAAAUUAUAGUGGGCUUUAACAAGAUAACUGCGACCAUAAAUGUACUAGUUCAUCUCGAUAAAAUAUCGGAGUGAAAUCAAGUAUCAUAUGAGACCCUAAAUGUCUUGGAUAUAUACAAUAUUCUGCUUC
rnacentral:lncRNA from 1 species